rnacentral:rRNA from 1 species
AGCAAAUAGAUACCCGGGUAGUCCAUGCCGUAAACUAUGGAUACUAGCUGUUGGGGGUAUCGACCCCUCCAGUAGCGAAAGCUAAACGCGUUAAGUAUCCCGCCUGUGGAGUACGAUCGCAAGAUUAAAACAUAAAGGAAUUGACGGGGACCCACACAAGCGGUGGAGCGUGUUCUUUAAAUUCGAUGCUAAACGAAGAACCUUACCAGGGCUUGACAUCCCUUGAAUUACUCCGAAAGGAGUGAGUGCCUUAUUGAGCAAGGUGACAGGUGAUGCAUGGCCGUCGUCAGCUCGUGUCGUGAGAUGUUUGGUUAAGUCCAUCAACGAGCGCAACCCUUAUACUUAGUUGUAUUUUUCUAGGUAGACUG